rnacentral:rRNA from 1 species
GGAUUAGAUACCCUGGUAGUCCACACCGUAAACGAUGUCUACUAGCUGUGUGUGUCUUUAAGACGUGCGUAGCGAAGCAAACGCGAUAAGUAGACCGCCUGGGGAGUACGGUCGCAAGAUUAAAACUCAAAUGAAUUGACGGGGGCCCGCACAAGCGGUGGAGCAUGUGGUUUAAUUCGAUGCAACGCGAAGAACCUUACCUACACUUGACAUGCCAAGAACUUUCCAGAGAUGGAUUGGUGCCUUCGGGAGCUUGGACACAGGUGCUGCAUGGCUGUCGUCAGCUCGUGCCG